rnacentral:rRNA from 1 species
CCUACGGGAGGCAGCAGUGGGGAAUAUUGGGCAAUGGGCGCAAGCCUGACCCAGCAACGCCGCGUGAAGGAAGAAGGCUUUCGGGUUGUAAACUUCUUUUAAGGGGGAAGAGCAGAAGACGGUACCCCUUGAAUAAGCCACGGCUAACUACGUGCCAGCAGCCGCGGUAAUACGUAGGUGGCAAGCGUUGUCCGGAUUUACUGGGUGUAAAGGGCGUGCAGCCGGAGAGACAAGUCAGAUGUGAAAUCCACGGGCUCAACCCGUGAACUGCAUUUGAAACUGUUUCCCUUGAGUGGCGGAGAGGUAAUCGGAAGUCCUUGUGUAGCGGUGAAAUGCGUAGAGAUAAGGAAGAACACCAGUGGCGAAGGCGGAUUACUGGACGAUAACUGACGGUGAGGCGCGAAAGCGUGGGGAGCAAACAGGAUUAGAUACCCCGGUAGUC